GUCCUUCUCGAUCAAUCUCAGAUCUUCUGAAUGAGUGCUCUCCCAGAGAGAGGAGAAUGAAAGUGAAAUUCAGUGGAAAGUGCUACUCCAUAUAUACGACUUGGUCAGAGAAUGCUACGAGUCUACGACGUUGGCGACCACGUGAAGUUGAAGACUCGAAGUUGCCGAUAACCUUCUGACUCUACGAGCUAUAUAACAAGUAUACCAUCAUACUGAUCAGGAGAACUUGACUGCUCCAACUGAAGGAUCAACCGUGUCACUGCCUUCAAUGCCACCAUUGGGGUUGAAAGAUCUCCCAUCUUUUGUUCGCAAUAAGAGCUCCUAUUCUUCCCUACUGCGGUUCGUUUUGAGCAGAAAUUUGAAUACGCAGAAAGCAGAUUGGCUCUUGUUCAACACUUUUGAUGAAUUGGAAAAGGAGUUCAAUUUUGGGUUGCUGGGUUUAAUUUCAACAUUCACAAUCAGAGAUAAACUGAAAAAGAGGGACCUAUAUACUAUAUUCCCAAAAUAUCCUUAGUUGGGAUCAAAUCUUGACCUACAGGCCUCCCCUAGAAGUGGAUUAAAAUGACUGCUCUCAAACUCAUUUGGACAUGAUCUCUUGUUCUUUAAACUGUUGAACUCAAUUGUAGUUGGUUUUGGUGGAUUGAAAGAUUGCUUAACUUUUCAUUGUUUUACCUGGCCACUA